CAUUGAUCGGGUGCUAUACAUGCAAGUCGAGCGGACAGAAGGGAGCUUGCUCCCGGAUGUUAGCGGCGGACGGGUGAGUAACACGUGGGUAACCUGCCUGUAAGACUGGGAUAACUCCGGGAAACCGGAGCUAAUACCGGAUAGUUCCUUGAACCGCAUGGUUCAAGGAUGAAAGACGGUUUCGGCUGUCACUUACAGAUGGACCCGCGGCGCAUUAGCUAGUUGGUGGGGUAAUGGCUCACCAAGGCGACGAUGCGUAGCCGACCUGAGAGGGUGAUCGGCCACACUGGGACUGAGACACGGCCCAGACUCCUACGGGAGGCAGCAGUAGGGAAUCUUCCGCAAUGGACGAAAGUCUGACGGAGCAACGCCGCGUGAGUGAUGAAGGUUUUCGGAUCGUAAAGCUCUGUUGUUAGGGAAGAACAAGUGCGAGAGUAACUGCUCGCACCUUGACGGUACCUAACCAGAAAGCCACGGCUAACUACGUGCCAGCAGCCGCGGUAAUACGUAGGUGGCAAGCGUUGUCCGGAAUUAUUGGGCGUAAAGGGCUCGCAGGCGGUUUCUUAAGUCUGAUGUGAAAGCCCCCGGCUCAACCGGGGAGGGUCAUUGAAAACUGGGAAACUUGAGUGCAGAAAAGGAGAGUGGAAUUCCACGUGUAGCGGUGAAAUGCGUAAAGAUGUGGAGGAACACCAGUGGCGAAGGCGACUCUCUGGUCUGUAACUGACGCUAAGGAGCGAAAGCGUGGGGAGCGAACAGGAUUAGAUACCCUGGUAGUCCACGCCGUAAACGAUGAGUGCUAAGUGUUAGGGGGGUUUCCGCCCCCUUAGUGCUGCAGCUAACGCAUUAAGCACUCCGCCUGGGGGAGUACGGUCGCAAGACUGAAACUCAAAGGAAUUGACGGGGGGCCCGCCCAAGCCGUUGGAACCAGGUGGGUUUUAUUUCCAAAGCAACGGCGAGGAAACCUUAACCAAG
rnacentral:rRNA from 1 species